CUCGUAGGUGGCCAACUAAGUCAGACGUGAAAUCCCUCAGCUUAACUGGGGAACUGCGUCUGAUACUGGAUGGCUUGAGUCUGGGAGAGGGAUGCGGAAUUCCAGGUGUAGCGGUGAAAUGCGUAGAUAUCUGGAGGAACACCGGUGGCGAAGGCGGCAUCCUGGACCAACACUGACACUGAGGAGCGAAAGCCAGGGAGCAAC
rnacentral:rRNA from 1 species